GGGGAGGGUUCCCACCACUCCUAGAACUGAUACAAGGCUCUCUGCACCUGAACUGUUUGCAUGAACAUGGUUUAUGCUGAACCCCUGCUUGCCUCCUAGGAGUCUGACAAUGUGGUCCGUGCCAAGGAGCACCUGCCAAUGGGGCAGCCCCACUAAACACCCUGGGUCACAUAGUGCUGGGACAGCCAAGUCCCUCCUGUGUGAAGGCACUGGGACUGGGAGAGGACACUAGUUGCUGGCCCUGGUUCCCCCUGGACUCCGCCCUGGCCCCUUUCCCUGUGCCAACACUCCUGCCUCCUCUUACUGUAGUCAGUGACAGCUGCGAACAGCACAAUGUGCCGGGUCAUGGAGCACUCUUUCAAAUUCACUGCCCUAUGGGUGGCCAUGGGACUCUGGCACAGCAGAGAGGCUACGGAGGUGACAUUCAACAGCCAGUCAGAGGGAUGCCCACCCUGGGACUGGGCAGAGUCUUGGGGGCUCUGUGCUGGGCCAAACAUUAGCCCUGGAUGGUGGAGAGGCCAGAAGUUCUUAGUCCUGCCAGGAAGGCAGUAGCUGUGAGCGUUUAACGACCACACGGCCACAGAGAGCUCAUCGUGGAACCAGGAAGAGACCCUGUGACAGUGAGCUUCACAGAAACAAGGCUGUUCACUCUAAAGAAAGCAGGCGGCAGACUGAAGAAAAUGAGA